UACAGAGGUCUCAAGCGUUGUUCGGAUUCAUUGGGCGUAAAGGGUGCGUAGGCGGUUUGUCGCGUCUGCCGUGAAAGUCCGGGGCUCAACUCCGAAACUGCAUUCGAUACUGGCGUGCUUGAGGACUGGAGAGGAGACUGGAAUUCAUGGUGUAGCAGUGAAAUGCGUAGAGAUCAUGAGGAAGACCAGUGGCGAAGGCGGGUCUCUGGACAGUUCCUGACACUGAGACACGAAGGCCAGGGGAGCAAACGGG
rnacentral:rRNA from 1 species